UUGACCUCGGAUCAGGUAGGGAUACCCGCUGAACUUAAGCAUAUCAAUAAGCGGAGGAAAAGAAACCAACAGGGAUUGCCUCAGUAACGGCGAGUGAAGCGGCAAGAGCUCAAAUUUGAAAUCCGGCCCCCUCGGGGGCCUGAGUUGUAAUUUGCAGAGGAUGCUUCGGGCGCGACCGCGGUCCAAGUCCCCUGGAACGGGGCGUCGUAGAGGGUGAGAAUCCCGUCUCCGGCCGGCCGGUCUCGCCCGUGUGAAGCUCCUUCGACGAGUCGAGUUGUUUGGGAAUGCAGCUCCAAAUGGGUGGUAAAUUUCAUCUAAAGCUAAAUACUGGUCGGAGACCGAUAGCGCACAAGUAGAGUGAUCGAAAGAUGAAAAGCACUUUGAAAAGAGAGUUAAACAGCAUGUGAAAUUGUUGAAAGGGAAGCGCUUGCGACCAGAGUCGGCCGCGGGGUUCAGCGGGCAUUCGUUGCCCGUGCAAUCCCCCGCGGCCGGGCCAGCGUCGGUUUCGACGGCCGUCAAAGGCCCCCGGAAUGUGUCGCCUCUCGGGGCGUCUUAUAGCCGGGGGUGCAAUGCGGCCAGUCGGGACCGAGGAACGCGCUCCGGCACGGACGCUGGCUUAAUGGUCGUCAGCGACCCGUCUUGAAACACGGACAA
rnacentral:rRNA from 1 species